rnacentral:rRNA from 1 species
AUUGAACGCUGGCGGCAGGCCUAACACAUGCAAGUCGAACGAGUGGCGGACGGGUGAGUAAUGUCUGGGAAACUGCCCGAUGGAGGGGGAUAACUACUGGAAACGGUAGUUAAUACCGCAUACCAUCGGAUGUGCCCAGAUGGGGUUAGCUAGUAGGUGGGGUAAUGGCUCACCUAGGAGACGAUCCAUAGCUGGUCUGAGAGGAUGACCAGCCACACUGGAACGGAGACACGGUCCAGACUCAUACGUGAGGCAGCAGUGGGGAAUAUGGCACAAUGGGCGCAAGCCUGAUGCAGCCAUGCCGCGUGUAUGAAGAAGGCCUUCGGGUUGUAAAGUACUUUCAGCGAGGAGGCGUUACUCGCAGAAGAAGCACCGGCUAACUACGUGCUAGCAGCCGCGGUAAUUC